UUGAAAUUAAGUUUUUACUUUUAUUUUAUUUUUUUAAGUUUUUAUAAUAAGAAUAUUAUUUUUUAUUAUUAGUUAAGAAAAAAUUAUUUUAGUUUUAGUUUAUUAGUACUGUGAAGGAACAAACGGUUAUAAUUAAAAUAAAUAUUAAUUUUUUGUACCUUGUGUAUCAGGGCUUAUUUAAUAGGAAUUUUUUAGAUAAUAUUCCCGAAUUUAAAAGAGCUAUUUUUGUAUAUAUAUUGUUGUUGAAUAAACACUUAUAAUACAAAGAUUGAAGUGAGAUGCUAUUCGUUUUUAAAUAUAUCUGGUUUUUUAAGAAAUAAGUUUAAUUUGUUUAAUAUUAUUCAAUUUAUUAAGUGUUUAAUAGGUUGUUUAUAUUAGGUUAUAUUUUAAGGGAUGAGCUUUAAAAUAAAUUAUUAUAAGUUUUUAAUAAAUUUUUGAUUAGUAGAAUUAGAAGUUUUUUUCUAUAUAAAAAUGUUAUAAUUGUUCAAUUUUUCUUUAUUAUUUAUAUAUUCUUUAAAUUUUAUAUUUAAAUUUGAUUAUUAAUUAUUAAUAGUUAGUAAUUAUGAUAAAAUUAGUAAAUUUUAAUGUAGCUUUUUCAAUUUUCUUAAGGUUAAUUAAAGUAAUUCGGCAAAUAAUUUUUCACCUGUUUAUUAAAAACAUGGCCUAUUGAGAAUGAUUUUAGGUCUGGCCUGCCCACUGAUUUUUUUGAAUGGCCGCGGUAAUUUGACCGUGCUAAGGUAGCAUAAUCAUUAGUUUCUUAAUUGGAAGCUGGCAUGAACGGUAGGAUGAGAGAAUGACUGUCUCUAGUUAAUUUUUAAUUGAAUUUUAUAUUUAAGUAAGAAAGCUUAAAUAUUAUUAAAAGACGAGAAGACCCUGUAGAAUUUUAUAUAGAGUUGUAUUAAUCUUCCUAUAGUAUUUUUAGUUGAUUAAUGGAAUUUAGUAUUUGGUUGGGGUGAUCGAAAAAUUAGAAAAACUUUUUUUUAAUUAUUACAUUCAUUUAUGAAAAAUUGAUCCAUUUUUUGUGAUUAUAAGAUAAAAUUACCUCAGGGAUAACAGCGUAAUCUUUCUUAAGAGUCCCAAUCGAAAGAAGGGUUUGCGACCUCGAUGUUGGAUUAAAAUUAAUUUUUGGUGUAGAGGCUAGAAAAUUGGGUCUGUUCGACCUUUAAAAUUUUAUAUACUUUUGUGUGGAACACGCGGGAGCCAGCCAGGUUUGUUUCUUUAUUAAAAAAAAUAUAUUUUUGUGAAAGGACCACGCAUUUGGUAUAUUUCUCUCCUUUGAAUAUUAUU
rnacentral:rRNA from 1 species